CAGGGCAAACAUCUAUGUAUAUGAAUACUAAGAAACCCUCAACGAACAGGGAGGAAAUAAUAACUACAAAGGAGAGGCUAAAACUUAUCCACUUGAGAUUGUCAGUAUCAAACUUUAACCCAUUAAACAUCGAAUGUAACAAAGACCCAUCAAGAGAAAAAGUUGAAAAGAAAUAAUUUGGCAAAUUGGAAAGGAGAUCUAUUGUUCAUCAAACUCGUGAAUGUGAUCUAAAAGGUAGUUCGCAGCCAAUUCCUCAUUUUUGUUACACGCGAAGUAGACCUCCAAUACGAUUGCACGAUCAAAUCCCAUUGCUUCAAGCUGAAAACAAAAACCACAACUCAAAUUAUUAUAUAUUUCAGUCAUAACUCAGAUCAUUAUAAAUUUCAAUCACAACUCUGAUUAUUAUAAAUUUUAGACGACAGACGAGCUAAUAAACAUGUUAACCGCCGGUGCUCCUCGGAAACAGUAGGGGUCAGUUUAAAAAUAAUCACCCCUGAUGUUCUGAGGAACGGGACAAAGGCCGAAUUCGAACUAUGGUUAAAGCCGGCUAAACAAAUGUGUAGUGCUAAUAUUACAACAAUCACUAUUCUUGAAAGACUCAGUAAACAUAUACAUCACAUCCUAACGAGAAACCAUAAUAAAGACAGCCAAGGCACCAGAUAGAUGCGUAGCUAUUCAUUUAAUUAUUUAUAUACAGACAAGAAGUCAAACUUACACGUUCAAUUGCUUGGCGCUCCUCAGCAGUGACGGACACUGCUUGUGGCAUGCCACCAGCCAGCUGCCCCAAUAUGUUCCUGAAGUAAAACAAGUCAGUGAAAAUGGGCACAGAUGAUCCCCUGGAAAGACAUUCCCCUCCCAUCUCUACACACAAAUAACAUUAGCAAAGAACAGCAAAAGAUGAUCCCUUACCCUUCACCACCUUCCACAGGUUCAUUUAUCAGGCGAAGGAAAUCAGCUUGAUGAUCUCGAAUCAAUCUCAUAAGAUGAGGAUUUUGUUUGCCAAGCUCCUGUAGCAUAGGCUGAAGCAAGAACAAGAUUCAGAAAACCCUGAAGAAGACAACAUAGGCUACAGUGAUACACUACUGAGGAAAAGAAGAAAACCUGCAAUAUUUGUGGAUUAGCCUGCACCAUAGCCCGCAAGGCUUGGAACUGAAAUGCAAAUUAACAUAAUUGAAACAUCUAUUUAAAACAUAUCUAUGAAGCAAGAAAUUCAGUUUAAAUGAAGAGAAAGAUAAUAAAUACUUGUUGACUGUUGCGUAGAAAAUCCAAUGAGCCAGCACCAGCAGCACCAGCACCCACGUUGGGAAGGCCCUGUUACACAAAAUUCAGUAUACAACCCAAAGGUUCCAUUUUCUCUUCAAUAAAUAAAUGUGUAAUAACUACCUGCGGGAAAAGGUCUAAAGGAUUAGCAUUAGGUCCAGUUGAGGUAACCGGAGCAGGUUGUGCUGUCUGUGGAGCCGCAGCAGCAGGAGGAUUUGCAGGUUGAGCACCUGCAGGUGCUCUGGCUACAGCUGGAGCUUCAGCUUGCUCAGGGAUACCCUAACAUUGAUGAAUGGUAAUUUGAAUUAAAAAAGAAAAGGCAGCAAAAAAUCACAAGAGAAAAGAAACCACCUUCCACCCACAUAACUACGGUGCUCAACUGAACUAAAAAAAAUGCAACUGAAAUAUUUGGCGGACAAAAGUCAUCAAGCACAAAGAAUUUAACAUCUAAAAUUUACAUACAGAAUACAAAUAUUCAACAGCUCUCUCAGGGUUGUUAUAAGCAGCUCGAAGAGCACGGACAACAGUAUCCCUGUCCCAGCUCCCUCCACCCAUGUCAAUAAUCUGCUGAAUUGUUCCCUCCAAGUUGCUACCAGCAACGAGAUUGGAUGCCGCUAGGCCAUAGACAUCAGACCCCUCCCUGCUUCAGAAAGACAUUUGUUUAAAAACAGAACUUAAAAGAAGAAUCAAGCAAGUUGAAGAGUUCUGUCUUUCAGGAUACAAAAAUGACAGCAACUUUAAACUCUACAUUCCAUACAUGGCAUGGCAGGAAACAAAAUACAUACACAGGAGUUCCUGAAGAAAUAGAAGCAGGUGCAGGAGGAGCUGGCGCUGGAGAAGGUGAGGAUACAGGUACAGUAACAGUUGCAGGCCUGUCAAAUUGAAAUGAAGCCUUUAAAUAGCACAUAAUACAUAUUAAAAUAAUUGAAAUUCAUAUUUAUCUAAACAAAUAAAAUAAUCCUGUAAAGAUUAGUCACUCACAGUGCCUCAGUUGCAGCAGGAGCUUGAGGUGCAGUUGAAACUGGCGUUGUUGAAGUAGGAGGUGCACUAGUCUGUGGUGUCUGCAGUGAAUACACAAUUUGUAGAGAAUGUUUAGAUAACGCAUAAGAGAGAUUAUGCUUUUGUCUUACCAUAUCCCGUAAUAGGGUAAAGCCUAAAUGAUAGAAACAUUGCAAACUAUUGUCACCUUGGUCGAUGGUGCAGUAGAAGUAGUAGAUCCGUCAGCAGAUGUGCUCUUACUCUAGCAUUUUUUAAACACACAACUCUAAUUUAGUGCAAAAUAAAUUAAUACAAUUGUGAUACAGAAUAUGCAACAUAAUAUCGCUUUUUUUUAUAAAAAAAAAUGAACUAAAGAAAAAUUUACCUUGGAUAGCAUAAUUACAAUGAAACUAUUUUCAGCUACGUUAUUCUCCUCCAAGGUAGUAGCAUCCUUCAGAACUUUCCCUUGGUGAAUUAGCAUUUGCAGUGCAGCAGGAUAGACAUCUGCACCCUGAGCAGAUUCAAUACUUUUCUUCACUUCAGAAACCUGAAAAGAAUACCCACAAUUACAAAUAAUGUAACAUAUCAGUUACUGAUGUUCAGAAAAACCAGAAGUACGUAGAAGUGAAUCACAAAUCCCGUAAAACUAAAAGAUGAAGCAUUGAGACAUUUGACGAUAUAGAACUCCACAUUUAGGUCACAUCAAGUAUUUAGAAAAAUUCAAUUGUUAGAAACAUGCAACUUCUAAAGUGACUAAAAAACGCACACUAUUCACAUAAAAAGUGCAGUCCUAGAUUUCAAGACAAUACCCAUUCUGACAAUAAGAAGCAUUAAUCCAAAGAUUGCCAAUGCGGAACUUAUUAACUAUAACAUGCCAAGAAGCCCAAGCUUACAAAAACAGACUUCGCACUAAUAAUAGAAUCCAGAGAACCAUCAAUAAAAAGUUUGCCACUAAUUCACACGAGCAAAGAAUGUUCUGACGAGAAUAACACAGUUCAUCCGUUCCCCCAGCAUAUUCCACAUACCAAAUCAAUCAUCACUCCGAAAAAGCAGGAAUUAACUAUCAAGUAACAAAGUUAAUCCAAAUUGCCAUCAAAAUUAAAUUAGAAUUGACGUAAGCGAAACAUCAAACCCUAAUUAACACUCAAUUUGAGGGCUGUAAAAGGAAGAGAAACUUUCGAGACAAUUCAAGGCCGGGACGCGAUUAGCGACCGAAAUAGAAAAAGGAAAUUAGGAAGGAAACCCAAUCGAACAAGUUUAGAGUAACAAACCGCGUCUUGCGGCUGCACUUCGAUUUCGAAGUGAGUGCCUUUGAGAGUCUUCACGAAAACCUUCAUCUUCGUCACGGCUAUCGCAAUAAGGCGCCACGAACAGCGUCGGAAGUCACGCCGGUGUGGUAAAGUCGGCCGAUCCGAAGACAGCAACGACACCGUUGUAGAGAAGAAAGGAACAAGAGAGAGUGAGGAAAAGGCGCAACAAAUGUGAAGAGAAAACCUCCUUUCUCUGAUAAAAAUAAAAAUAAAUAAAUAAAUAAAAGGGAGAUAUGAUAUACCCGAAAAUGUGCUAGUUUAUGUUAGUGGUUGAGUGAGGAGUAUCACGCGCAAUUGGGAGCGUGGAUAAACGCGCGGCUUUGAUGGGGUAGAGGUGGUGACGUGGACGGUGGAGAGGAAGUGGCGUUAACGUGGAAGAAGGAUGAGAGAGAGUUGAAGUGGAGAGAGUUAGCUAGAUUUGUGUGUCUGGCGGGCGGUGAGUUGUGCCUCACCUCACUCCAAACCUUUUAUAAAUCUUUAGGAUCAUGUGUUUGUUUUUUAAAAUAAAUAUUAAAACCAUCAUUCUUUUAAUUUUUAUUAAGAUUUAGAUCAUAUAUUUUAUGAUUGAUCACUAUGUAUUUUCUUUUAUAUAUUAUUUAAGGUCAAGAUUUUUUUUUGUUUUUCUCAAUAUUAAAUGUUUUUAGUUAUAACAAACUCUUUAUUCUCUUUUGUAUAUUAAAAAAUAGUAUUUACAUAAAAAAAAAUUAUAAUAAAAUAUUUAUGUGAUAUUUAAAUUAUAUUUUUUUAAACUAUUUUCUGGAUCUUUAUAAAUAUUAUUUUUUUUAAGUGAACUUUUAUCAAACUUUCAAUUUUUUGUAAAAUUAAACAAAAAUUCAUUUAUCAAUACUUAUUUUCUCACGCUCAACUUUCCACUUUUCACUCUCCCGUCUAAACAAACAAACCCCUUAAAGAUAUAAAUUGAUUAAUAUCAAUACUUAAAUUUAACAUUUACAUAUGAUAAGAUUUGUUUAACAAGUAGAUCAGAUAAGAUUUGUUUAACAAUUAGAUGUGAUCAGUUAUAACAAGAAUAAGAUGGAAUAAAAACAAAAUAAACAUAUAAUAAUAAUUCUUAAUGUGUUUAAUGCAUGGAAUGACAUGAUAAUACAUCUUGAUAAUGAUAAUGAUAAUUAUGAAAAUAAUAAUGUUAUUAUUAUCAUUAAUGGUAAGAAUAAAAAUAUUAGGAACGGUAAAGUGAGACGGAUCAUAUUGUUCACAAUUCAUUGAGAAAAAGUGGAGCAGACUAUCAAUUUUGACCUGUUGGUCUAACUUAGGUCUGUCCUGCAUAAUCCGCAACCCGCACGAGUCAAGUGUGGAGUGGGCUAGCCCGCAUAACUUGUAUAUUUUAAAAUUUUAAAAAUUUCUUUUUACAUCCCCCAUAAUUUCUUUAUCCACCCUCAUAUUUUUAUAAUGAUUUUUUAAUAUUUAAUAGUAUUUUUUGUCUUUCUAAAAUGCAUAAAUUGUUAGAUUUCAAUACUCAUCAAGUGCUAAAUAUAAUAGUCACACUUUAAUCUUUUUUCUAAUAACAUUUAAAUAUAUAUUUUUAUUAGAAUAGUAAUUAUGUGUCUAGAUGUAUUACAUUGAAAAGUUGUAUAUAUUUAAUGAAGUAUUUUAUUAGUCAAUUUAUUAAUAUGAUUGAAAUUCAAAUUUCACUAAAAAUCAAAACAUCAUUAUAAUUUUUUUACUCAUCUUAUGUGUCGUGAUAAUAAUACUCUGAAACAAUUUACCUAAUUCAUCUAAAAAAGAAAAAAAAAACUUAAUAAAAAAAAUUAUUCAAAGUUUAUUUUUUAUUAAUUUAAAAAAAAUCUUAUGCGAGCCAACACAAGUAUGAAUGGGUUGUGUUGCAUUGUCAUUCCUAAAAAAUAUAAAGAGAGUAAUAAAAGUAGUACAAAUAACACUUUUUUCAACGGUUAAAUACGAAUCACUGUAAAUAAAAAUAUGGUAAAAUUUUUGUAAAUAUUUUGAUAUAUAUGACUUCAGUUCCAAAUAAAUCGAUUUUAAAAAUGAUAUAUUACACCGAUUAUGUGAAAAAAUAGGUGUAAAAUGUAGCUUAUAACAUGUAACAAAUUUAAAUUUUAUUUAGCAUGUUCACAUAUUUUUUAAAUAGUAUUACAUGAAAAACAAAAGAUCCUUUUUUUUAAAUAUACAUAAAUGUCAAAAGAAAAUAUAACGUAAGAAUGAAAUAUAAAAAUUCCAUCUGUUCAAGAAAGAAUCUUAUGAUGUAGAACAAUAUUCUUUACUUCCACAUAACACAUGAUCAUCACAUAAAAAAAUGUGUUUAGAUAAAUUGAUUCAACUAAAUUCAAAUGGAAUAUCAUAAUUACUCAAUUAAGACAAAUCUAGCAUGUUUCUAGACUUGCUCUUGAUUUGUAUUUUUUUUUUUAUAUUUUUAUUGCUCAUUAUAUAACCAACGUGCUAAACUCAGUGACUUAGUUGUGUGACUGACUAAUCUUAUCAAAUUAAUUUGGUUUUAAGCACAUUACCACAUUUAGUAAAUAUUCAUUGGAAGCUAUUUUUUUUUUUCAUACCUAUUUUAUAUUUAGAUUGUUUAGUGUUUUUAACUUAGUUCUUAAAAAUACACUAACGAAACCUUAGUUACGAAGAUUAGGAUUUCUAAAUUAUUUUUAUAACGCAUGUCAUUAAUAAUAAAUAUGAACACAUAAAAUAAAAUAUAAUAAAAAGUAAAAAAACUAAUGAAAUAUAUAGAAGAAGAAAAUUCAGAUAUUUUUAUAUUAUCCAUCUUCAUCUAAUCAGUUCAUUAUUUUUUUCUAUAACAGAUCACAAACUCAUUAUUUCUUUUCAUUUCUCACUUCUCGUGUUCUAUUUUUGAAAUGAAAUAAAAAAAAAAAAACAAACUCAUUAUUUUAAUUCAUUUCAUACUAGUUUUUUUUUAAAAAAAAUUUGAGAAAAAAAGGUAACACUCUCUAACCCACUAGUGUAAUAUUUCUUAUAUAUGAACUUUUAUAUUUUUUUCAUGUUGAAAUAAAAGAAUUUAAAUAAUUUUUUAAAAUUUUAAUAAUAACUAAUUGAAGUAUUCUUAUUUUUUAAAAAUAUUUUUGUACGAAAUUUCAUUUUAGGAACACAAAAUAAAACCUCAUUGUAUGUUUUUUAUAACCAAUUUUAAUUAUAACUUAUUGAUAAGUUCAAGAUUUUGAAAGAAAAAAAAGUCAAUCUCGUAUGAUUUUUCUAUAAUUAUAAUUAGGUCGUCAUGGAUUGGAUUUUCUAAAAAUUAAUCUAAAUCCAAAUAAAUGGAUUGGAUUUAAAAUUUAUAUCCAUUUUAAUUAGAUCAAAAGUGGAUUAAAUCUACUUUUAAUCCAUUUUGUUAAUUAGAUUAAAUUCACUUUGUCAAUCACAUUAAAUACAUUUUGAUAUGGACACAUACUAACUUGACUCGAACCGGGUCUAAGCUGACUCAACCUGAACGUGGACCAACUCGGUUCGCCAUCGGCCCGGGCCUGGACAACUUGACAUCAGCCCGAGCUCAGACGACUCAACAUCGGCCCGGGCCUAAAUGAUUCGACAUCAGCCUGAGCUCGUUCGACUCGAACUCGGCUCGUGCCCGCUCGACUCGACAUUAGCCAGGGCCCAAUUGACUCGACAUCGACCAGGGUCCGCUCCACUCGACAUCGACUCGAGCCCGGAAGACUUAACAUCGGUCUGGGCACGAACAACUCGACAAUGGCCUAGGCCAGGACGACUCGAGAUCGACUCGGGCCCGCUCGGCUUGACAUCGACCUAAGCCCACUUGGCUCGACAUUGGCCAGGGCCCAAUCGACUCGACAUAGACCCAGACCCGCUCCACUCGACAUCGGCCCCAACCCGUUCAGCUUGACAUCGGCCCGUGCCCGGGAGACUCGACAUUGGCUCGGGCAGGCUCGGCUCAACAUCGGCCUGGGCACAAUCAACUCAACACGGGCCUGCGCACGAGGGAUUCAACAUGGGCCCAAGCCCAGACGACUCAACAUUGACCCGGACAACUCAGUAAUGACCCGGGCCUGGAUUAUUCGACAUCAACCCGGGUCUGCUCUCGACAUUGACUUAGCCCGGACGACUCGACAUCGGUAUCGGCCCGAACGACUCAACAUCGGUCCGGAUCCGAACGACUCAACAUUGGCUCGUUCCCGCUCGGCUUGACAUCGGUCCGGGCCCGUUCGGCUCGACAUUAGCCAGGGCCCAAUCGACUCGACAUAGACCCAGGCCCGCUACACUUGACAUCAGCCUGGACCCGUUCAACUCGACAUUGACUCGGGCAUUUUCGGCUCGACAUUGGCCCAGGUUCGGGAGACUCGACAUCGACCCGAGCCUAGGAGACUUGACAUCGGUUUGAGCCCGUUCAACUCGACAUCGGCCAAGGCCCAAUCGACUCGACAUCAACUCGGGCCCGCUCCACUCGACAUCGACUCGGACCCGUUCGACUUGACAUUGGCAUGAGCCCGAGAGACUCGAUAUUGGCUCGGGCCCACUCGGCUUGACAUCAGCCUGAGCCCGGGAGACUCGACAUUGGCUCAGGCUUGUUUGACUGGACAUUGGCCCAGACCCAAGAGACUCGACAUCGGCCCGGGCCCGAAAGACUCAACAUCAAUUCGGGCUCGUUCAACUUGACAUUGACUCGGGCCCGCUCCACUUGCAUCGACCCGGGUUUAGGGUUUAGGGCCAGCUCAGCUUAACAUCAACUCGGGAAUGCACGACUCGACAACGGCCCAGACACGCUCGGCUCGAAAUCGACCAGGGCCUGCUCGGCUCGAUAUGGGCUCGGGACUGCUCGGUUAGAGAUUGGUCGGGCCGCGCUCGACUCGACAUUGGCUGGAUUGUCUUGGCUUAACUUGGAUCGGGCCAAGUCAAAAUUCAUCCCAAAAUACAAUUUGGAUAAUCCAAAAAUGUAUUCAAUCUAUAUCUAAUCCAUAUCCAAUUAAAUGGAUUGGAUUUAAAAUCCAAAAAUAUGGAUUUGGAUUUGAAAUAAAUCCAUUUAAAUGGAUUAAAAUUAAUAUGGAUGGUUAUGGAUUGGAUUUUGUAAUUUGGAUUUUUUACCCACCCUUAAUUAUAAUCAUAUUAAAUUAUAUACUUAUAUUUUUGUUAUAUAUAUAGUUUUAGGUAUGUAAUUUUAGUUUUCAAAAUUGUUGAUGUAACUCUAAAUCCCCCAAUAGCUUUCUGACAAAAAAUAAGACAGUUAUUCUGGAUGAUUGAAUUUGAAAAAAAAAUAAAAAAUCAUAAUACAUUUAUAUAUUUGAACUGCUUGAAUUUUCCUUUCCCAUAAAUUGAUUUGGAGUAAAAAGCAAAAAGAAAGUAAAUAUAUAUAAAGUUUAGCAAUAAUUCUCAAUACACACUUGCCGAAAGUCAUAAGACUAUGUUUUUUAUUUGGAUAUUUCUUUUAAACCAUUUAUAAGAAGAAAAUUAUCCAAAGUUCAAGCCAAGUGUACAGGUUCCGAGUACGAACUCAACGACCGCUUCUCAACGAUUUGUUAUAUGUAUUUUUCAGAAAUAUAUUUAUUUAAAAUCACAGUUGAACAAUAAAAUGAAAUGAAUAUAUCAAUCCAACCCAUCAAAUAAAACCUGCACAUCAUUUAAGCUAAUUUGAUUAUCGGUAUUUCAAACUUGUAAUUUCACAGGAUUCAAAUAUCACUAUUUCUGUAGUUGAAAACAAAUUAUUUAUAUGUGUAUAUACAGAAAUACAAAACUAUAAACCAGCUGAAAAUUUCACAUGCAUUUUGUUAUUAAUUUAGCACAAAUCUAUUUGGUAGGGCGCCAAGAGCCGUUGGGUAAAACUAACUAACAUAAUUACAUCUUUAUGUAUAUAGUACAUAAAUAGAAGCAUGUGUAGUUAGGUUGGUGAUAUAUACUAUAAACCCUUACUAACAAAAUAGAAAGGGCAUUCAAUUUAUUUUCUCUUUUCUAUCUAUAAACUCACCAAUCCAACCUAAUAUUUCGGGAAAGGUACAGUUUAUCAAUGUAUUCUAUAAUCGGAAGUGAUGCAGCAAUAUACCUUUUCAUCUUCUUCUCGGCUGAUUGCUCUGCAAAACAUUAUCAUAUUCUGUAACAUGAACUGAUUGCAAGAAAAUCUAUGUAAAUGAUGAUAGGAUAAAGUUUGUUCAAAAACCCUUUGCUCACAUCAUAUGUUUGAUUAUAUACACUUUAAUAAGCACACCACAGAACAUAAUAAAACAAUGCAAAUUACCUGUUUCAUUCAGCUUCAUCAAAAGUUGUUCUCUAGUUGGAAGUGUAUACAUCCCAGCGUACACAGCUGUUCGCACCGCCCAUGUGUGAUACGGAGCACAAACCUGUCCAUAAGCUGUUGAAGCCACUUCCUUUAGAGAAGUAUCGCUGAAGAUGCCAAAUUACAAAUCAGAUGUCAAAAACCCAUGAGGUACUUGAAUUAACUAAGCAAAAUGGUAGAAUUUAUGAAGCUCUAGUUCAACGUGGGUGAAAUUAAACAGACAGGAAUUUUCCAAUAUAUCAUGGAAAAUUCAGCAUUGUAUUUAUGCUGCAUACACAAAAAAGGUUUCUUACUCCGUAGAUAAAAGCUGUUCGAAUAUAGCUCUGACCAGAUCCAGACCCUGCCGAACUCUACGCAGAUUACGUGAAUAGCUUCCAGAUGUUUUCACUGUGUCACUGGCAACAUCAAAAUCAAGAAUAUCCUGUAGAGUGGAAUAUGUCUUUGAUGCUUCCAAUAGUCCAUGUAGCUGAUCAUAUUAACAUCGCAUAUUCAUACAGUCAGAACAACUGGUCUAGAAAACAUGAUGAAGUGGAAAUUUUGGGAGUUAAAGCAAAGAUGAUGCACUGAAUAUAAAGAGGAAUUAGUUGAAUGAGAAUUAACUCUGAAUAUGAAGUUAUGUACACAAUGAGCAUGGAUCAAGUGUCAUAAAACUGUGAACAGAAAAGCUUUUGGAAUAGUAUAUUUAAAACCUUGAAUGUAUCAGAGUAUACAGAGAUCACCCAACAUGAACCUGAAGUAAGAUUUAUGAACUACUACACCAAAGUUAUAUGUUACACCAAAAUAAAUGCAUUUCCAUCAAGAACAAUGGGGAGAGGGUAUCGAGCCUGUGGUUUACCAGUGAAUUGUUUGCAAAGAAUCCAAAUUCAGUAUGAUCUCAAAAAAUUGAAAGAAAAAGCGAAGAUAACAUGAUUUAUACCACAAGGAGUGACUAGAGGAAAAUAAAGAUUAAAAAAAACUAAAUUCUGAAAUCAUAACAGUUAAUCGCCAGCGCACGAAUCAACGUUUCAGUUAUCUUUUGGCCAUUUUUCACAUGCACCACCAACAAAAUAAAACCUGGCUUUUUUAAUCCACAGUGUUCGUUCGUCCAACCAUUGUAUCUGGAGUUCAAGUCUUCAAGAAAUUCAUUAAAAAAGAUUUUUUUUGUUUAUUUUCCUAAAAUAUGCUCCUUCCAAAUCAAUCCUGUUAGAUGCAGCAUUAGACACUAUACAUUUUCUCCAGUAAAAAUUCGCACCGUGAUUGAUCGCGUCAUGAAACUCAAUUCUCCUUACCAAAUCAAAAGUUGCAGUUAUAAAUUAGAAAAAAACAAAUUACACUGAUAUUCCUCAUUACUGUCUUCAAAAUUCAUUCAUACAGAAUCGGUUAGAGUAAUCUGUUUUAAAACGGAUUAAAAUAGAAAUGACUACAGAAUUUGUUAUACGCAUUUAUUUAUUUAACGAGGAUCAUGACAGAUGGUAGUUAUGAAAUUUGAAGAGUAGAAAGUGUGAUCUAUGAUGAAAGAAAGAAAGAAAGAAAGAAACCUUGGCGACAUAUUCCAAUUCAGCAAAUUUGAAAGCGAGGCCGAGACAACGAAAGAGAACGGAGAUGUGAGAGGCGGCCUCGCAGAAAGUGUUGAGGCGAAUGUGGGUGUCGUGCUUCUCCUUCAUCCACUUCGACAGUUCCUCAAACGCCUCUGCUAUGGCCGUCAGAGGUUGCUCUAUAACCUCGCCCUCCUCCAUCUCCGGCAUCCUAUUCUUCCUUCGAACGAUGGAUCGAUUAUGGAAUAUCAAUUACCGAUUCCUUUGAUUUCAAUGUGCCUGCAAAUGUCUGAAACGUCGAAAAAGAAUUGGAACAGGAAUUGGCAAAGGUAAAAACCAAAGCGCGUGUUUAGAUCGUAAGGAAUCAAUUCGUUUCCCUCAAACCCGUGGAAGACAAACGUCCACCCACAAUUGCUGACUUCUCGUUUGGGAUUCAAUAUUCACGCGCCAUUAUUAUUAUCCCGCUUUCGGACUGCCGGCCUCUUUCAAUUGGGCCCCGGCCCAGCCCAUUUCUUUUUGUCUAUGCUUUUUUUUAUGUUAUUCCUUAGUAUUCUUAUAAAAAAAACAUAAAGCAUUCUUCUUUAAUAGUUAAUAAAAAUAUUAAAAGAUUUCUUAUUCUUCUAGAAUAUAUAUUUUUAAUUAAAUAUUAUGUGAAAUAUCAUAAAAUUAUAAUAAUAAGUAUUAUUAUUCUAUUUUUUAUAACAAUUUUUUAAUACAAAUAAAAGUACGGUUCAUACUUAAACCCUUAAACCUAAACACAUAUAUCAUUUAACUUAUAAGAAAAAAUCUUAAAACAUUAAUUUAGAAUAAAUUUUAUUAAAACAAUUUGAAAUUUACAAUAUACAAUAAUAUAUAAAUAUAUGUUAUUCGAAAUAAAAUAUCUCUCAAAUCCUUAUGAGGUUUCAUAAUUAUAAACAUUUUCUCAAAUCAAGAUCUAAGAAAAAUAAUAUCAAUAUACUCUCUUUUUACGUCAAUAGAACUCACAUAAACUAGAAAUUAGAUUAUCACCUACAUCCUUUGGUACAACAAAAAUAUAAGGGACUAUAAUACAAUCAGGAAUAACAAUAACAACUCAAUUUAGAUAGUGCAAUAACUUACAUCUCUCUUAAUUUAAAUUAUUUAAAUUAUCAAUCAAGUCAAUAUAUCUACUUUCAAUUGUGAGUUUCACUAUUCAAAUACUACAAAAAUAGAAACCAAGUCAUAUUACCACCCCAAAUUUUUCCAUUAAACUCAACUCAAUACAGACAUAUCUUAAUUCAUGCCUAUUUUAUUUCCCCACUUUCAUACUAAUCCCAUAAAACACAUUCCACAUAAAAAAUUAUAUGAAACAGUUCAUUUAAUUUAAUAAACAGAAUAUUGUUUAAACAAUAUUGUUCACUUAAAAGUAAAAAUAAAAAAUAUACACUCUCACUUAGUUAAGAUGUAAAAUAUUGCUUGAACAACAUAAAAAUUGUUAGAAUUUUUUUUCCUCGAGUAAUCAUCCAUGACUUGGAGGGACUUAAUAAUGUCUUGAUUUGUGUUUUUUUUUUUUUUUUUUGUCUUCGGUAGCUCAGCAACACACCUAUGGUUUUUGGUCAGGCAGGGGAGGUUGGUGACAUUUACGGCCUCCAGCAAGCAUGAAUUCAAAUUUAUUCUGGCAGUCAGUAGCUUUAUAUUGGUUUCUACAUGGCAGCAAGUACAAUUAUGACGGUACAUAUUUGAUUUACAAGUUAAAUCAUGUUUAAAAAUUGAGAAAUAACUUACAUUUAUCAUACAUGGUCAUCCUAGCUCGUUUCAUCGACACCUCAUUCAGAAUUACCAAAAUUUCAUUAUAAAUGUUGACGUGAAAAGUGUAUAAUAAGAAAACUUUCAAAAUAUGGUUGAUUUGAUUUUUAAUAAGUUCUUAACAUUUUAAUUAAUUCCAACAUCUAUUCAACUUAAUUUUGUUUAUGAUAAAUUUCAAAACACGGUAACUAUUUUAAAAUUAUUUCCAUGUAUUUCAGAGACGACUAAUUUGGCAACUGUGAACAACUAGGGCAGAAAAAAAAAAUGCACAAUCACAAAUGGUAAAAACUAAAAAGGAUGGCAGAAAAGGCGGGGCAAACAACUAUUUAUAUGAAUACUAAGAAAGCCUCGAGGAACUUGGAGGAAAUGAUAAAUACAAGGGCAACAUAAAGGAGAGGCUAAAACUUAUCCACUUGAGAUUGUCAAUAUCAAACUUUAACCCAUUAAACAUCGAGUGUAACAAAGACCCAUCGAGAAAAAAAGUUGAAAAGAAAUAAUUUGGCAAAUUGGAAAGGAGAUCUAUUGUUCAUCAAACUCGUGAAUGUGAUCUAAAAGGUAGUUCGCAGCCAAUUCCUCAUUUUUGUUACACGCGAAGUAGACCUCCAAUACGAUUGCACGAUCAAAACCCAUUGCUUCAAGCUGAAAACAAAAACCACAACUCAAAUUAUUAUAAAUUUCAGUCACAACUCAUCAGAUUAUUAUAAAUUUCAGACGACAGACGAGCUAAUCAACAUGUUAACCGCUGGUGCUCCUCGGAAACAAUAGGGGUCUGUUAAAAAAUAAUCACUGAUAAAGUCCUUUAAAACAAUACCCCUGAUGUUCUGAGGAACGGGACGGAGGCCGAAUUCGAACUAUGCUUAAAGCCGGCUAAACAAAUGUGUAGUGCUAAUAUUACAACAAUCACUACUCUUGAAACACUCAAUAAACAUAUGCAUCACAUCCUAACGAGAAACCAUGAUAAAGAUAGCCAAAGCACCAGAGAGAUGCGUAGGUUUAUCAUUUAAUGAUUUAUAUAAAAACAAAAAGUCAAACUUAC
rnacentral:lncRNA from 1 species